CUGACCGGCCGAGGAGCCCUGCGCGGAAGAUUCAACGGGGCUAAGCCGGGCGCCGAAGCUGCGGGCUUGGCGGAACUGCCUAUAAAGGCGUUCCGUCAGGCGGUAGGGGAGCGUUCCGCCUGCUGUAAAGCCCGACCGAAAGGACGGGUGGAGCGGGCGGAAGUGAGAAUCCCGGCACGAGUAGCGAUAAGGCCGGUGAGAAUCCGGCCCGCCGGAAGCCCAAGGUUUCCGACGCAACGCUCGUCGGCGUCGGGUUAGGCGGUCCUAAGCCGAGGCCGUUCGGCGUAGGCGAUGGGCAGCCGGUCGACAUUCCGGCCCCACCGACCUCCGCCAUCAGGGAUGGGGGACGCUCCCAAGGGAGCCUACGCGGCGAUGGUCGUCCGCGGCGACCGUGGAGUGGGUCAUCCGAAAGGAUGGCUCGCUUGGCGGGAGCGAGCCGCCUUUGUGCGGCGAAGUGGCGCCCCAAGGGAGCCAAGAAAAGCCCUUACCGAGUCCAUCCCCAAAAGGGAUGGCGCGGAGCGUCGGUGACCGUACCGGAAACCGCCACAGGUGGGCGAGGAGAGUAUCCACAGGCGCGCGGGAUAACCCCCGCCAAGGAACUCUGCAAAAUGUCCCCGUAACUUCGGGAGAAGGGGAGCCGUAGUAGGGUGAAAGGGCCUUCGCGCCCGAGUAGCCCGAGGCGGUCGCAGAUAAGCGGCCGGGGCGACUGUUUAACAAAAACACAGGUUCCUGCCAACCCGAAAGGGGAGGUAUAGGGGCCGACGCCUGGCCAGUGCCCGAAGGUUAAGGGGACGGGUUCGCCGGGUUUUCGCCCGGCAAAGCUCGCGCCCCGAAGCCCGGGUAAACGCCGGCCGUAACCCUGACGGUCCUAAGGUAGCGAAAUUCCUUGUCGGGUAAGUUCCGACCCGCACGAAAGGCGUAACGACUUCGGCGCUGUCUCGGCGGGGGGCCCGGUGAAACUGUGGUGUCCGUGAAGACGCGGACUACCCGCGGCGGGACGGAAAGACCCCGUGGAGCUUUACUGCAGCCUGGCCUUGGGCUUUGGGGCGGGAUGCAGAGAAUAGGUGGGAGCCUGUGAAGCUCGCCCUCCGGGGCGGGUGGAGGCGCCAGUGGAAUACCACCCUUCCCGCUCUUGGGUCCUAACUUGGUCCCGUGAAUCCGGGCCAAGGACAGGGUCAGGUGGGCAGUUUGGCUGGGGCGGCGGCCUCCUAAAAGGUAACGGAGGCGUCCAAAGGUCCCCUCAGGCGGGAUGGAAAUCCGCCGUGGAGUGCAAAGGCAUAAGGGGGCCUGACUGUGAGGCCUACAAGCCGAGCAGCCGCGAAAGCGGGGCUUAGUGACCCGGCGGUUUGGGAGUGGGACCGCCGCCGAUCAACGGAUAAAAGCUACCCCGGGGAUAACAGGCUAAUGGCGCCCGAGCGUCCCCAGCGACGGCGCCGUUUGGCACCUCGAUGUCGGCUCAUCGCAUCCUGGGGCUGAAGCCGGUCCCAAGGGUUGGGCUGUUCGCCCAUUAAAGCGGUACGUGAGCUGGGUUCAGACCGUCGUGAGACAGGUCGGUCCCUAUCCGCCGCGGGCGCAGGAGGCUUGAGGGGGGCUCGCCCUAGUACGAGAGGACCGGGCGGGACCAGCCUCUGGUGUCCCGGCUGUCGCGCCAGCGGCACGCGCCGGGUAGCCAUGCUGGGUCGGGAUAACCGCUGAAAGCAUCUAAGCGGGAAGCCCACCCCAAGAUAAGGCCUCCCACGGGGUUAACCCGGUAAGGGCCCGGGAAGACUACCCGGUUGAUGGGCCGGAGGUGGAAGCCCAGCAAUGGGUGGAGCUGACCGGUCCCAAUAGCCCGAGGGCUUGACUGU
rnacentral:rRNA from 1 species